AUUGAACGCUAGCGGCAUGCCUUACACAUGCAAGUCGAACGGCAGCGGGGGAGCUUGCUCCCGCCGGCGAGUGGCGAACGGGUGAGUAAUACAUCGGAACGUACCCAGUAGCGGGGGAUAGCCCGGCGAAAGCCGGAUUAAUACCGCAUACGCCCUACGGGGGAAAGGGGGGGAUCGCAAGACCUCUCACUAUUGGAGCGGCCGAUGGCUGAUUAGCUAGCUGGUGGGGUAAAGGCCUACCAAGGCGACGAUCAGUAGCUGGUCUGAGAGGACGACCAGCCACACUGGGACUGAGACACGGCCCAGACUCCUACGGGAGGCAGCAGUGGGGAAUUUUGGACAAUGGACGAAAGCCUGAUCCAGCAAUGCCGCGUGUGCGAAGAAGGCCUUCGGGUUGUAAAGCACUUUUGUCAGGGAAGAAAUCGUUUGGGUUAAUACCCCGAGCAGUUGACGGUACCUGAAGAAUAAGCACCGGCUAACUACGUGCCAGCAGCCGCCGUAA
rnacentral:rRNA from 1 species